UCUUGGUAAUUUUGUUUAUCCAUUCAUUGAUGGAUGGAUAUUGUUUGUAACCUUUGUCUACUCUGAAUGAUACUGCCAUGAAUAUUGAUGUGCAAGUUUUUGUGAGAAUAUGUUUUCAUUCUGUUGGCUGUACAGUUGGCCCGCCAUAUCUGUAGUUUCCAAUUCAUGGAUCCAGAUGGCUGAUUGUAAAGGGACUCAAACAUCCUUUGAUUAUGGUAUCCAGGGUGGGGGGUUCCUGAAACCAACCCCCCGAGGAUACUGAGGGAUGACUCUACAUGUAGGAGUGGAAUUGCUGAGCCAUAUAACUCUAACCUUUUGAGGAAACACCAGACUUCUCCAAAGAAGCUGCACCAUUGUCCCUUUCCACUGGCCGCAAAUGAGGUAUCUCUGCCUCCUCAACGACACUUGUUAUUGUCCAUGUUUUGAUUAAAACCGUCCUAGUGGGUGUAAAAUGAGAACUCAUUUUGAUUUUGAUUUGGCUAGUGAUGCUGAGCUUCUUUUCAUGUGCUUAUCGGCCAUUUGUGUAUUUAUUUAAAUCCUUGGCAAAUUUAAACAUUGGGUCGAUUUUCUUUGUAUUGUUCAGUUGUAAGCAUUUUUUAUAUACCCUGAAUACUAGUCUCUUCUUAGAUACAUGCUUGGCAAAAUUUUUCUCCUAUUCUGCAGAUUGUCCUUUCACUUUAGUUUUUUUAAGCAUUAAAACAAUUUCUUUACAGGGGAGGUAAUUAGAUGUAUUGAUUUAUUUUAUUUUUCUUGCUAAGCAUGCACUCUGUCACUUGAUAUACCCCCUUCCCCUGUCAUUUCACUUUCUUGAUGAUGUAAUUUCUAACAAAAAGGUUUUAAAUUUGAUGAAGUCCAGUUUAUCUGCUUUUUUCUUCUAUCACUUGUGCUCUUCGUAUUGUAUCUAGGAAACCAAAGCCUAUCCUAGGACCACAAAGAUUUAUACUGUGUCUUCUUUUAGAAAGUUUAUAGGUUUAGUUAUUACGUUUCUGUCUGUGAUCAAUUUUGAAUUAAUUUUUAUUUAUUUAAAAUAUGGGGGUCCAGAUUCCAGAUUCAUUCUUUUGCCUGCAGAUACUCAGCACUCCCUGCACCAUUUGUUGAAUAGACUAUUCUUUCAAUGGAGUGUUGUUGACACCCUUGUGGAAAACUGACUGUAAAUAUAAGGAGACUGAGAAUUAGGUCUUCUGUAUUUUGGAUGGAGCUCAUUAUCAAUGACAGGAAGUUGUAAGGAAAAAGAUAUUGAUUCAUCCUGAGAAAAUAUUUUUCUGACCGUCAGCAGUGAAGAGGGUGAACACUGAAGAAGGUGAUCAUUGUUUGAGUGAGACGAGCCCCGGGUUGUACGGAGUCAGCAUCCCUGUCCUGGACACGGCACGUGUAGAUCUGUGUGGUGGGUGAGGCGGCGAGGCCGCGCAGGGAACGCGGAUGCCGGGCCAUUGGGCUGUGCUCAGGCCCGGUGGGGCUUUCUCCUAAGGGCAGUGGACCGUCAUUGACAGAUUUUUAGUAGGGGAGUGGGGUGCUCUCGUAGAUCACUUUUGUCUUGUAGAAUGCUUAGAAACAUUUAGAAGGCUCUGCAGGAGGUGAUGUGAUGAGUCAGAUUAGGGUGGCUGCCAGGUGUAGGAGUGUAGAAUUUUCAAGUGGUUUUCAGUCCCAGUUUUGUGGCUGAGUAGCUGUGUCACUUUGGAUGAUGCACUCAAGGAAGUAAACAAUUUAUCUAAUCAAUUGAAGAAGUGAUGUACCGACCUCCCAGGACUGCUGUGGUGAUCCAGUGAGAUAACGUGUUCACAGUGUGCAGCGUGGUCCCCAGCACACAGUCAGUGCUGAGUGAGUGCCAGUGAGUACCUGGUAGUUCAGGUGUGGGUGGUGGGACUCGGUGACUGAGGAAAUCUGGGCCCUGAAGGUGGGGUCCAGUCACAUCUGUGAGUGAUGGGCCUGAGCUGGGAGAGGAAGGGAGACCUUGCCCCCCGACCAGGGGCCCUGGGUAGGACGGCUAUGGGAGGAGCACCGUGAAGUCAGCUCUUUGCAGGUGGAGCUCGAGUUGCCUUUGAGAUAUCUAAGUGCAUUGUCAUGAGCUCAAAGAGGAGGUCUGGGCCCGGGCUGUGAAUUUUCCUAUAAUCUUAAUCCCUGAGGACGCUGAGGUAUUGAUCACUGAACGUGAAGACAUACUUUACAGGACAAGUGAAUAGUAGUAUCAUCUCUGUCAUCAAAGCUCACAUCUCUUUAUUCAUCACAAGUUUGCUAUUGGGUACUUACAGAGCUCACUUCACCGCCAUCCCCUGGGCUCAGGCUCCACAGUAAAGAGCUGGUGAGCCUCCCUCUUUUCCAGAAGAAGACACAUUUAGCUGGUAGAAUUCUGUACCUCGCCAGACUUAGAAUUUUAGUUUGUUGUUUUAAUUCUAUUUUCUGUUAGCCAUCUCCUGACAGGAGAGACGUUUUACCUCAUGGACAUAUUUCAAUUAGCUGUUACUGAGAAUUGCUGAUCUGAUCCAUAGUGUAAGUAUUAUAUUAACCUUGUAGAGUAUUUAUCAUUUUUCUGUCUUUGCCCUUUAAUUUUGUAUGCCCCUUCAAGUCUCUAUCCUAUUUGGGGCCUUAUUUUUUUUAAUUAAAAAAUGUCUAUUUGCAGUUAAGAAAACAAAAGAAAAGAAAAAAUACACAUGAUAGCUAAACUUAGAAAA